UACGUAGGGCGCAAGCGUUGUCCGGAAUUAUUGGGCGUAAAGAGCUCGUAGGCGGCCUGUUGCGUCCGCUGUGAAAUCCCGGGGCUUAACCCCGGGCGUGCAGUGGGUACGGGCAGGCUGGAGGCAGGCAGGGGAGAACGGAAUUCCCGGUGUAGCGGUGAAAUGCGCAGAUAUCGGGAGGAACACCGGUGGCGAAGGCGGUUCUCUGGGCCUGUACUGACGCUGAGGAGCGAAAGCGUGGGGAGCGAACAGG
rnacentral:rRNA from 1 species